rnacentral:lncRNA from 1 species
UUUUCUCUAAAGCUCCUCCUCUUCCUCUCUUCCUCCUCUAAGUAGUCUUCUAGUUUGGAGCAUCCAAGGCUUGUGAAGAAGAAAGAAGAAAUCUACCUCCAAGAUCCUUACAAGCUAGCACUUCCAUGGAGCCUGAUCUGCACUGAUCUUCAUGUGGAUAUUUCGUAGAGGCCAGACAACUUUGUGUGGCUGUGAGCAAUCUGAGAGAGAUUCUUUCCAAGUGUUGGACCAGCAGAGAUCAAAAAACUUUAGUUUGGUAAUGGUUUCUAAACUUUCUUGAUCAUGUUUGUUAGAUCUAAUGGUUAGAUCUACAUGGCAGCAUUGAUUAGAUUGAUGCAAGCUUUUAUUUUUAGAUAUAAAGUGAAUUUUAGUUCAUAUUAUUUAUUUUGAUAUGAUAGUCUAGAUUAGAUCUUAUAUAUAUAAUUUAAAUUAAAUUAUUUAAUCUUAUU